AUAUAUAUAUAUCGACUUUCACUAUAUAUAUAUCAACUUUCAUUAUAUAUAUAUCAAGUUUCAUUAUAUAUAUAUAUCAACUUUCAUUAUAUAUAUAUCAAGUUUCAUUAUAUAUAUAUCGACUUUCAUUAUAUAUAUAUAUCAACUUUCAUUAUAUAUAUAUCAAAUCUUUUUUUCCUACCGAGCCCCGGAAGGGACAUGUCCGUAUGGCGAAGCGACAACGAAGGACACUCACCCGGACGAGAAUUUUAUUGAGUUUUAUUUUAAAAUCGGCCUGAAACACACAGACAUUCAAGCAGUGCGAUGCGCUAAGAGUCUGCCAUGCAGACCAGCGAUCCUGAUAAUGUUGUCGGCCUUGGAUGAUGAGGUCCAGUUACCAGGAGCACUAGUCUGCAGCUUACUGGUUCCGUCUUGCAGCUCCUCCACGCUGUCCUCCUCUCUACAGACCAAAUCAAGAAAAGGGAACCAGGAAGCUGCUGUGGAUCCUCUGCAGUAUCUGGAGAGGUCAGAGGAACGUUUCUUGGAACAGAUUGGAAGACACCAAGACGUGACCUCUGCCAUGCUCCAGAACAUCCAGAAGAUGAAUGAAAACCUUGGUUGCACUGAUGGGACGCAUGGUGUCGGUGCUGGAGCAACUGUCCCAGAAUUAAACUGCAUUGUUGACUAUUGGCUUUUCUAGAAAAUAAAUCUUUUUUAGUACUUCA